CACGUAGGGUGCGAGCGUUGUUCGGAAUUACUGGGCGUAAAGGGCGCGUAGGCGGUCUUUUAAGUCUUGUGUGAAAUCCCUCGGCUCAACUGAGGAACUGCACGGGAGACUGUCGGGCUUGAGUUCGGGAGAGGGAAGCGGAAUUCCGGGUGUAGCGGUGAAAUGCGUAGAGAUGUGGAGGAAUACCGAUGGCGAAGGCAGCCCCCUGGGACGUCACUGACGCUCAUGCACGAAAGCGUGGGGAGCAAACAGG
rnacentral:rRNA from 1 species